AGUGAACGCUGGCGGUAGGCCUAACACAUGCAAGUCGAACGGCAGCACAGUAAGAGCUUGCUCUUACGGGUGGCGAGUGGCGGACGGGUGAGGAAUACAUCGGAAUCUACUUUUUCGUGGGGGAUAACGUAGGGAAACUUACGCUAAUACCGCAUACGACCUACGGGUGAAAGCAGGGGAUCUUCGGACCUUGCGCGAUUGAAUGAGCCGAUGUCGGAUUAGCUAGUUGGCGGGGUAAAGGCCCACCAAGGCGACGAUCCGUAGCUGGUCUGAGAGGAUGGCACGCCCACCUGGAAUGUAGAGCCGGUCCCCGCCCACGCUGGGGCGACCCGUGGGGGAGGUUGGGCAAUUGGGGCCAGCCCUAUCCCACCCUUCCGGGUAGGGUAAAAAAGCCUUCCGGUUUGAAAAGCCUUUUGUUUGGAAAAAAAAGCAGCCAGUUUAUUCCCCGCUGUUCUGACGGUACCCAAAGAAUAAGCACCGGCUAACUUCGUG
rnacentral:rRNA from 1 species